AGAGUUUGAUCCUGGCUCAGGAUGAACGCUGACAGAAUGCUUAACACAUGCAAGUCGAUGGGGAAGUGGUGCUUGCACCAUGGCAACCAUGGCGGACGGGUGAGUAACGCGUAAGGGACUUACCUGCAGGACUGGGAUAACAGGGGGAAACUCCUGACAAGACCGGAUAAUGUCAUGGAGCUGCAUGGCUUUAUGAUGAAAGGAGACGCCUGCGGAGAGCCUUGCGUCCUAUUAGCUAGUUGGUGAGGUAAUGGCUCACCAAGGCGAAGAUAGGUAGCCGGCCUGAGAGGGUGGACGGCCACAAGGGGACUGAGAUACGGCCCUUACUCCUACGGGAGGCAGCAGUGGGGAAUAUUGGACAAUGGGGGCAACCCUGAUCCAGCAAUUCUGUGUGCACGAAGAAGGUUUUCGGAUUGUAAAGUGCUUUCAGCAGGGAAGAAGGAAGUGACGGUACCUGCAGAAGAAGCGACGGCUAAAUACGUGCCAGCAGCCGCGGUAAUACGUAUGUCGCGAGCGUUAUCCGGAAUUAUUGGGCAUAAAGGGCAUCUAGGCGGCACGACAAGUCAGGGGUGAAAACUUGCGGCUCAACUGCAAGCUUGCCUUUGAAACUGUAGUGCUAGAGUAUUGGAAAGGUGGGCGGAACUACACGAGUAGAGGUGAAAUUCGUAGAUAUGUGCAGGAAUGCCGAUGAUGAAGAUAGUUCACUGGACGGUAACUGACGCUGAAGUGCGAAAGCCGGGGGAGCGAACAGGAUUAGAUACCCUGGUAGUCCCGGCUGUAAACGAUGAUUACUGGGUGUGGGCAGGAAGACUGUCUGUGCCGAAGCGAAUGCGAUAAGUAAUCCGCCUGGGGAGUACGGCCGCAAGGCUGAAACUCAAAGGAAUUGACGGGGACCCGCACAAGCGGUGGAGCAUGUGGUUUAAUUCGA
rnacentral:rRNA from 1 species